rnacentral:rRNA from 1 species
CAUUCCGGUCGUGCUUACCAUGCAAGUCGAACGGUGAAGCAGAGCUUGCUCUGUGGAUCAGUGGCGAACGGGUGAGUAACACGUGAGCAAUCUGCCCCUGACUCUGGGAUAAGCGCUGGAAACGGCGUCUAAUACCGGAUACGAGCUGCGACCGCAUGGUCAGUAGCUGGAAAGAAUUUCGGUCAGGGAUGAGCUCGCGGCCUAUCAGCUUGUUGGUGAGGUAAUGGCUCACCAAGGCGUCGACGGGUAGCCGGCCUGAGAGGGUGACCGGCCACACUGGGACUGAGACACGGCCCAGACUCCUACGGGAGGCAGCAGUGGGGAAUAUUGCACAAUGGGCGCAAGCCUGAUGCAGCAACGCCGCGUGAGGGAUGACGGCCUUCGGGUUGUAAACCUCUUUUAGCAGGGAAGAAGCGAAAGUGACGGUACCUGCAGAAAAAGCGCCGGCUAACUACGUGCCAGCAGCCGCGGUAAUACGUAGGGCGCAAGCGUUAUCCGGAAUUAUUGGGCGUAAAGAGCUCGUAGGCGGUCUGUCGCGUCUGCUGUGAAAACCCGAGGCUCAACCUCGGGCCUGCAGUGGGUACGGGCAGACUAGAGUGCGGUAGGGGAGAUUGGAAUUCCUGGUGUAGCGGUGGAAUGCGCAGAUAUCAGGAGGAACACCGAUGGCGAAGGCAGAUCUCUGGGCCGUAACUGACGCUGAGGAGCGAAAGGGUGGGGAGCAAACAGGCUUAGAUACCCUGGUAGUCCACCCCGUAAACGUUGGGAACUAGUUGUGGGGUCCAUUCCACGGAUUCCGUGACGCAGCUAACGCAUUAAGUUCCCCGCCUGGGGAGUACGGCCGCAAGGCUAAAACUCAAAGGAAUUGACGGGGACCCGCACAAGCGGCGGAGCAUGCGGAUUAAUUCGAUGCAACGCGAAGAACCUUACCAAGGCUUGACAUAUAGAGGAAACGUCUGGAAACAGUCGCCCCGCAAGGUCUCUAUACAGGUGGUGCAUGGUUGUCGUCAGCUCGUGUCGUGAGAUGUUGGGUUAAGUCCCGCAACGAGCGCAACCCUCGUUCUAUGUUGCCAGCACGUAAUGGUGGGAACUCAUGGGAUACUGCCGGGGUCAACUCGGAGGAAGGUGGGGAUGACGUCAAAUCAUCAUGCCCCUUAUGUCUUGGGCUUCACGCAUGCUACAAUGGCCGGUACAAAGGGCUGCAAUACCGUGAGGUGGAGCGAAUCCCAAAAAGCCGGUCCCAGUUCGGAUUGAGGUCUGCAACUCGACCUCAUGAAGUCGGAGUCGCUAGUAAUCGCAGAUCAGCAACGCUGCGGUGAAUACGUUCCCGGGUCUUGUACACACCGCCCGUCAAGUCAUGAAAGUCGGUAACACCUGAAGCCGGUGGCCCAACCCUUGUGGAGGGAGCCGUCGAAGGUGGGAUCGGUAAUUAGGACUAAGUCGAACAAGAGCGCCCGGG